rnacentral:rRNA from 1 species
GAUGAACGCUGGCGGCGUGCCUAAUACAUGCAAGUCGAGCGAACAGACGAGGAGCUUGCUCCUCUGACGUUAGCGGCGGACGGGUGAGUAACACGUGGAUAACCUACCUAUAAGACUGGGAUAACUUCGGGAAACCGGAGCUAAUACCGGAUAAUAUAUUGAACCGCAUGGUUCAAUAGUGAAAGACGGUUUUGCUGUCACUUAUAGAUGGAUCCGCGCCGCAUUAGCUAGUUGGUAAGGUAACGGCUUACCAAGGCAACGAUGCGUAGCCGACCUGAGAGGGUGAUCGACCACACUGGAACUGAGACACGGUCCAGACUCCUACGGGAGGCAGCAGUAGGGAAUCUUCCGCAAUGGGCGAAAGCCUGACGGAGCAACGCCGCGGGAGUGAUGAAGGUCUUCGGAUCGUAAAACUCUGUUAUUAGGGAAGAACAAAUGUGUAAGUAACUAUGCACGGCUUGACGGUACCUAAUCAGAAAGCCACGGCUAACUACGUG